GUUCUCUAAAAUGUUUUCAAAUAAUUAAUAUCCACCAUUAAACUGGAAGGGACCCUAGGAAUAGUUUAGAUUUGCUAAGUGUCUAUGCCAUAUGAUUCUGCUGUUUGCGUUUGAUUUAGAAUGCUGAGCUGACUCAAAGUCAAACUGAGUUUGCAGACCCGUUUUGGAGAUGAGGAACAAAUACAUGUAAAAUUAACUAUGAUAUGAAAGUGACAUAAUAUUGUAUAAGAGAGAAUAGAAAGGUCACAGGUAGAACAUGAUAUUCCAUAAACACUUUGCUGUUGGAAAAUGGGGACAUUGGGACUACCAUGGUACACGGUAUGGGUUGAAUUGUGUUCCACUCCUCAAAUGUACAUGUUGAAGUCCUAACCCUGAGAAACUCACAAUGUGACCGUAUUUGGAGAUAGAGCCUUUAGAGAAGUAAUUAAGGUGAAAUGAAGUCAUUUGGGUGAACCAUCAUUUAAUCUGACUGAUAUCUUUAUAAGAACAGAAAAUCGACACAGGCACUCAUAGAAGAACAUCAUGUGAACUGAAUACAAUCAUCUGUAAGCCAACAGUAGAGGUCUUGGAAGAAACCAACCCAGACAACACUUUGAUCUUGGACUUUCAGCUUCCAGGAUUGGGAGAACAUGAGUUUCUGUGGUGUAAGCCAUAUCGUCUGUGGUGCUUUUUAUGGCAGCCCGAACCAGCAGUACAAAUAAAUACAAGUUUUAUUCGUGGGAAAAGUCAGCAGCAGAGAAGCAACAGUGCAUUCAUUAUCCUGUGAACUUGCAUUUUCCUGCAGCGCUGUUCUUAGGAGAGUCAUAGCCAAUUGGAUGCACCAUAGAAAGGAUUCUGAUAAUGGGACCCCACACUCUGUUGCAACUCUGUGGCAAUGAGGCCUUUCUGGGUCCCAGUGCCCAGUGGCCAAUUUCAUCUAGUUCUGUCAAGCUCACUCCGGCCUCCAAACAAACUCUUGGCUCUUUGUCUCUUCUUACCUGUGUAUGACAAGACCAUCAGAUUGGCCAGCUGACCACCAAUGAAACACAGAUUCUAUGGUCUAAUUAAUAAACAGAUUUGCAGGUGCUUAAGUGUACUUGUCAAAAGAGUGGCUAUUCUUAUUUUUAAGAUAAUGACAACAAUAUUUGCUUGUAAAUUAUAAUUUAUAAAUUGGAGUAUGAAGAAAUUUCUAGCCUCUUUUACCAAAAAAAGCUACAUAUAUAUGAGUCACCAAUUUGACUGGUUAAAUAUAUCUUGUAUUUAUAACUCACCUGCAAGUCAUGUACCUGCAAAGGCAAAAGAGAAAUGUGGGUAAUACGGUUACUUUAUGUCUAUCCUAUUGACUCCAAUGACCAGCCAAGGUCACUCAAGAGACCACCUAAUUUGAGGAGGAUAAAGAGCUGGGGGUCACUUGGUAAUUCAGCUAUAUUGGCAUCUAAUCUAAGGGGAGACUGGAAACCUAGUUUUGCACUUGCACGUUACUGAAUAAGUAGGUCAGCAUCUGCCCUGGCUUGGCAUUUUACAAUCUGUUGGCCAGGCACUCCCACGCAGCUUAGGUCUUCACUUGCCAGCUGGUUUGGGUUUCACAAUUACUUGCUUUUUCAGCAAUGCGGGUUAUGCAGUCCUGGAUAACUGUGAAAAAACUGCCUGAACCUGUGGAGUUUUUCCACUGGAAACUUCUGAACUUGGCAUA
rnacentral:lncRNA from 10 species